AUGUAUUUCAGAGGUUUCACAGCAAGAGAAGCCAUGAACACUCACAGCCUGGGGAAGAAAACUCAUGGGGUUUUGCAGGGGAAGAAACAAUUUAAGCCCAAAAGGCAAAGUGAAGUUGCUGCAGAGCUGCAAGUGGAGAAAAGGGAAAAGAGACAGUAUUGGUUUGAUCAUUGUAAGGGCCUGAGACAAGGCCAGAACAAUGUGUUAACACCAGGAGAAUCUACAGCCCUGGUGCUGGAGGACUCCAGAAGAAGAUCUCAGCAUGAAAGAGCAGGCUGCUUCCAGUGUAAAAUCCCAGCGGAGUUUAGAUGGAAAUUGCUGGUGCCAUCUGACAGUGAGUUUGCCUGGAGAGCGGGGUGGGUCCUGCGCGGGGACCGCAUUCCCGGUGCUGCGAGGCCGCUGCUCUCCCUGCUGGUCCUGCUGCUUCCAGCCUGCCUGGCAGCAUCCAAGGAAGUGCCACCAGCGACCUGAGAUGGACAGACAUSCUUCACGUGAUCGGGAUGUGGCCGCACAGCGCCAGUGACAACCUGCGGGGAAGGGAACCCCUGCAGGAGUAGGGGGCACCUUUGCCCUGCUGCUGUCAAAAAACCAAUCUGCGACGAGAAAAAUCCGAGAUGUUUUUCGCUGAAACAAAGACUGUACUUGUUGCACCUCGUACAGCCACUCCCAUGAGCUCUCGCUGAAAGAGUUAUCUGAAAAUCUGAAUCACACAGUCCAAGGUCAGCCCAUCACCUUUGCAAUUUCCNNNNNNNNNNNNNNNNNNNNUAGGGAAAGGUUAAAGGAGUAGGUAAACUCUCUGCAGCUGAUCUUUGACUGUCUUUAUUGCAGUAAGCAAUACAUCCCAUGUGACUAGGUCUUUUUAUUAAUACUGUAUCUCUAAUACCUAGUAGGGGAGAGGUAACUGCAGGGAAUUGCUCCGAGGAGUCAUGUUCUGGAGAGAUCUGGCUCACUCUGGCGCUGGGGCACAGUAGUUCCACAAGCCCUGCUGCAGCCUCAGCCUUGCUCUCCAGUUCAGAAGCAGGGCAGCCAUGGGAGAUCUGUGAUGCAGGACGUGAGAUAAUGCAGGAUAUGAGAUAUGGGAUGCAAGAUGCAAGAGGUGGGAUGAUGCAGGAKGCAGGAUAUGGGAUGAGGGAUGCAGGAUGUGGGAUGCAGGCUGGCUGGCCCAGCAUGGAGAGCUGGCUGGGCAUGCAGUACUGGCUCUUGUGGCUCAGGGAAAUUGUGAGCUGGGCUGCCAUGUCUGGUGUUAUUUAGCACACUGUCUCCAGUUCCUGGCCUUGGGGGUGCCAGCACCAAGGAAAGAUUUGGAAACAGAUUUUAUGCUGGGUUUGGGUGGCUGCAGGGGGAAACSAGGCUCUGCUCCCUUCUCAUGCAAAGAAGCCACAAGCACAACUCCGAUAGGACAGUGAGAGUGCUGCAGAGUGUCUUCCCUUUUCCUCUUCAGAUAUGAAGAGGCAUAUUUUCAGUGAAUCCUAAAAAUCCUAAAAUGAGGAAGACAAUGACUGAACAGGAUGAAGACAGGAACAGUCAGGCUUUUCCAUCCCAGGGCUAGGAAUAUUCAUGUAUUGGAUGGUGCAGUUGGGACAGCAGCAGUACAGCUUUCCCUGUACCCCCAAUUCAGCCCACUCACAAAAAACAAACAAAACCAAAGCUUCCCCAGCCUUCUACCACAUCCAUUACCUSCUCUGGGCUUCUGGAGUAUUCAGUAAAACCAGUCACCAACUUUUAAAACCUCUGCAGACUCCUCAAAUAAACUAUGCCAGGGCUUGAGAAAUCUUAGGAAGUGCUUGAAGUGUUGUGUAAUCCAGAUCUACYCAGAUGCAAUUUAGCAGCUGCCAUUUAUUUACAUGAGGACUGUUAUGUCAAGUUCACCUAGUKUGAUCCCCUUUAACCUACUUUCUUUCAGUAGGUACACCAUGAUUUCAGCCUUUGCUCUUGCUCAUUAGAUGCUUGUGCUUUAAUCUUUCACAUUGGAAUGCCAAGGUUCAUCCAUUCCUCUUUAGAUGGUAUUUUUUUUUCAAAUCUUGUAUAUAAGAAAAUUGCAUCCAAUACAGAGAUGUAUGUAAUUUACUUCUGGUAACUUCAGUUAUUUUAAUUAAAAAAUUUCUCAUUUUGCACUUUAGAGUAUGUAAGCUUGGAGUAGAUGCAGUUGCUUUUAUACUUAAAUCUCCAAGCAGGGCUGAAGGACGCUGUCUCAUUUCAUCUGCUGAAAGAGACACAAGUGAAAAAUUUUUGAGAAAUAUUUGUGUUUAUGCAUCYAAGUAAGAUGUUUUCUGUGAUUGCAAAUAGCAUGAUAUUAUUGAUUCAUAUUACCUUUUCUGUCUCUCUGUGUACAGAACAUCCACUGGAGAGAUUGCUKACUGUCAGUCAUUUUUCCUCUUGGUUUUGUGCAAUGCUUGUGCCUGCUCUUGUGCUCAUGGACUCACAUCCCAUUCACUGCAACAGUUUUUCAAUUUACCAAGGUAAUUCUGUAUCCUGACAUGGCCCUCCACAGAGCUUGUGGUGUCUCAUAGUUUCAUAACUUUUAACAUUUUGAUGAGCAUACUCUGUCUCUCUCCAUUGCAUAAUUCUGAUUUCAGCUCGAGAGCUGCACCUCGUGUCUGAAGAGGGGACAGGCAGCUGGAGCAAGUGGAUUUUCCCCUGGGCUGUCCCAGAACAUCCCUGCAAACCAGACUCUGCAGGUGAAGGCUGUAUGAAGUCAGCUGAUGUCUAACUGCACAGCAGCGUUCUCACAAUCCUGGAAUUGCAGCUGGCAUCACUGUGAUGAUAAUUGCAAGAGCAGCUUUUGGGAUUUCACAGUUUGAUGUGUGAUAUUUUAUCCCAAUAAUGACUCCUGCAGAGGCAGAGGACAGCUCACUAGUGUCCUCCAGUGUACCAACUCUAGUAAUUUUAUCAGCUUAAGAAUAUAAA
ensembl:lncRNA